GCUCCUACCGAUGUUUGGUCCGGUGAAAUCUUAGGAUUCGUGACAUACACUCGUCAGCUCUUUCGGGGGAAGAUGAGUUUGUUGUGGAGAAUUUGAGUAAACCUUGCCAAAUAGAGGAAGGAGAAGUCGUAACAAGGUAUUCGUAGGUGAACCUGCAGAAGGAUCACCUACGAAAACCUUGUUACGACUUUUACUUCCUCUAAAUGAUCAAGCUUGAACUUCUUCUCAGUCCCGGCACAUGCUUUCGCACGAGCUGGGCCCGAUCCGAGCAUCUCGCUAAACCAUUCAAUCGGUAGUAGC
rnacentral:misc_RNA from 1 species